ACCACCCGAUCCCAUGCCGAACUCGGAAGUGAAACCGCUUAGCGCCGAUGGUAGUGUGGAGUUUCUCCAUGUGAGAGUAGGUCAUCGUCAGGC
rnacentral:rRNA from 1 species